ensembl:snRNA U5 U5 spliceosomal RNA
UCACUCUUGUUUCUCUUCAUAUCGUAUAAAUCUUUCGCCUUUUACUAAAGAUUUCCGUGGAGAGGAACAUUAUGAGUAUCAACUAAUUUUUUGUGGCCCUACUUUAUCGUGGGGC